UACGGAGGGAGCUAGCGUUAUUCGGAAUUACUGGGCGUAAAGCGUACGUAGGCGGCUUUGUAAGUAAGAGGUGAAAGCCCGGAGCUCAACUCCGGAACUGCCUUUUAGACUGCAUCGCUUGAAUCCAGGAGAGGUGAGUGGAAUUCCGAGUGUAGAGGUGAAAUUCGUAGAUAUUCGGAAGAACACCAGUGGCGAAGGCGACAUACUGGUCCGUUACUGACGCUGAGGCUCGAAAGCGUGGGGGAGCAAACAGG
rnacentral:rRNA from 1 species